rnacentral:rRNA from 1 species
CUUGCAGGGUACUCGAGUGGCGAACGGGUGAGUAACACGUGGGUGAUCUGCCCUGCACUUCGGGAUAAGCUUGGGAAACUGGGUCUAAUACCGGAUAGGAGCCAUCUUUAGUGUGGUGGUUGGAAAGUUUUUCGGUGUAGGAUGAGCUCGCGGCCUAUCAGCUUGUUGGUGGGGUAAUGGCCUACCAAGGCGGCGACGGGUAGCCGGCCUGAGAGGGUGUACGGCCACAUUGGGACUGAGAUACGGCCCAG